rfam:Pseudomonas aeruginosa PAO1, complete genome.
CCGCCCGGCACCACCGGUCAAACCAUGGCGUAGGGCGAAUAACCGCAUCGCGGUUAUCCGCCGGCUGUGCAGGGCAGCGGCCCUUGCCCGGAUUUUGGGCAGCGUGCACCAGCAGGCGACAAAUCGGCAUCAAUCGCUGGCGGAAAAGCCCGCUCCGUCA